rnacentral:rRNA from 1 species
GACGAACCGUGCGAACGUUGUUCGGAUUCACUGGGCUUAAAGGGCGCGUAGGCGGAUGGUCAAGUCGGGGGGUGAAAUCUUUCAGCUUAACUGGAAAAGUGCCUCCGAUACUGAUCGUCUCGAGGGAGGUAGGGGCAUGUGGAACUUCCGGUGGAGCGGUGAAAUGCGUAGAUAUCGGAAGGAACGCCGGUGGCGAAGGCAGAUCUCUGGGCCGUAACUGACGCUGAGGAGCGAAAGCAUGGGGAGCGAACAGG